AUAAUGAAUAUUACCUGCCCUAUGAAUUUUAUAUUUAAAUGGCUGCGGUAGCCUGACUGUGCGAAGGUAGCGUAAUAAUUUGCCCUAUAAUUGAGGGCUUGUAUGAAUGGUUUGACAAGAGCGAUACUGUCUCCUAUUAAUUUUUUAGAAUUUUACUUUUAAGUGAAAAGGCUUAAAUUUAAUUAAAAGACAAGAAGACCCUAUUGAGUUUUAAUUUUUGAAUUAAUCAGGUGAAAUUUGUAGUAAUUCGUUGAUUAUUUUAAUAGAUUUUGGUUGGGGUAACCAAGGAGUAUAUAAAGCCUCCUUAUAUAAAUGGAUAUUUAUUGAUUUUGAUCCAUAAGUUGUGAUUAAAAGAUUAAAUUACCAUAGGGAUAACAGCAUAAUUUUUUUUGAGAGUUCAUAUUGAAAAAGAAGUUUAUGACCUCGAUGUUGGAUCAAAACAUCCUAAAGGUGCAGGAGCUUUAAGGGUUGGUCUGUUCGACCAUUAAAGUUUUA
rnacentral:rRNA from 1 species